rnacentral:tRNA from 1 species
GCCUGGGUAGCUGAGUUGGUUAAGUGUCUGACUUUGGCUCAGGUCAUGAUCUCUCAGUUUGUGGGUUCGAGCCCCACGUGGGCU